rnacentral:lncRNA from 1 species
GCUAGAAAAACCAAGACUGAUUACUAUUUUUGAGCAAAGCCAAGCGGUAACCAUGAGAUAGGGAAGUAAAUAUUUUUCAUCUUCAAUUCUAAUGUAGCAGGAGCUAAAUUCUCUCAACAAGCUUUGAUCAACAUAAAUCAUUAGACUUGAUGUGGAUUAUUUUAAUCACUAUGGACAUCCAGGAGGAUCACUAGACUUGAUAUGGAUCACUUUCGUCAUUAAGAGGACUCGAUAUGGAUC